rnacentral:rRNA from 1 species
CUCUCCGGAGGGAAGCGAGUGGCGAACGGCUGAGUAACACGUGGAGAACCUGCCCCCUCCCCCGGGAUAGCCGCCCGAAAGGACGGGUAAUACCGGAUACCCCGGGGUGCCGCAUGGCACCCCGGCUAAAGCCCCGACGGGAGGGGAUGGCUCCGCGGCCCAUCAGGUAGACGGCGGGGUGACGGCCCACCGUGCCGACAACGGGUAGCCGGGUUGAGAGACCGACCGGCCAGAUUGGGACUGAGACACGGCCCAGACUCCUACGGGAGGCAGCAGUGGGGAAUCUUGCGCAAUGGGGGGAACCCUGACGCAGCGACGCCGCGUGCGGGACGGAGGCCUUCGGGUCGUAAACCGCUUUCAGCAGGGAAGAGUCAAGACUGUACCUGCAGAAGAAGCCCCGGCUAACUACGUGCCAGCAGCCGCGGUAAUACGUAGGGGGCGAGCGUUAUCCGGAUUCAUUGGGCGUAAAGCGCGCGUAGGCGGCCCGGCAGGCCGGGGGUCGAAGCGGGGGGCUCAACCCCCCGAAGCCCCCAGAACCUCCGCGGCUUGGGUCCAGUAGGGGAUGGUGGAACACCCGG